rnacentral:rRNA from 1 species
GGGUGAGUAACGCGUAAGCAAUCUGCCCCAUAUCAGGAAAUACCCGUGCCAACGCGCGGUUAAUGUCCAGGAGAGUGGCCAGCUGCAUGGCUGGUUGACUAGAGAUUUAUCGGUAUGGGAUGAGCUUGCGUCCGAUUAGCUAGUUGGCGGGGCAACGGCCCACCAAGGCGACGAUCGGUAGCCGGCCUGAGAGGGUGAUCGGCCACAUUGGGACUGAGAUACGGCCCAGACUCCUACGGGAGGCAGCAGUAGGGAAUAUUGCACAAUGGGGGAAACCCUGAUGCAGCAACGCCACGUGUGGAAGAAGCAUUUCGGUGUGUAAACCACUGUCAUGAGGGAAUAAGGCCCUUAUUCGUAAGGGAUUGAAUGUACCUUGAGAGGAAGCACCGGCAAACUUCGUGCCAGCAGCCGCGGUAAUACGAGGGGUGCAAGCGUUGUUCGGAAUUACUGGGCGUAAAGGGAGCGUAGGCGGAGAUUCAAGCGGAUUGUACAAUCCCGGGGCCCAACCCCGGCUCUGCAGUCCGAACUGGAUCUCUUGGAUAGUUCAGGGGCAGGCGGAAUUCCUGGUGUAGCGGUGGAAUGCGUAGAGAUCAGGAAGAACACCGAUGGCGAAGGCAGCC